rnacentral:rRNA from 1 species
AAACUCAAAGGAAGUUGACGGGGGCCCGCGACAAGCGGUGGAGCAUGUGGUUAAUUCGAUGCAACGCGAAGAACCUUACCUGGGCUUGACAUCCCGGGAAUCCCUUGGAAACAAGGGAGUGCCCUUCGGGGAACCUGGAGACAGGUGCUGCAUGGCUGUCGUCAGCUCGUGUCGUGAGAUGUAGGGUUAAGUCCCGCAACGAGCGCAACCCUUGUCUUUAAUUGCCAUCAUUGAGUUGGGCACUUUAAAGAGACUGCCGGUGUUAAACCGGAGGAAGUGGGGAUGACGUCAAGUCCUCAUGGCCUUUAUGCCCAGGGCUACACACGUGCUACAAUGGCCGGUACAGACGGAGGCGAAGCCGCGAGGCGGAGCAAAUCCGAAAAAGCCGGUCUCAGUUCGGAUUGCAGGCUGCAAUUCGCCUGCAUGAAGUCGGAAUCGCUAGUAAUCGCAGGUCAGCAUACUGCGGUGAAUACGUUCCCGGGCCUU